AAAAAAGCAGGGUCAUGUUGCCUUCUGUGAACACGGCUCUCGUAAACUUCAGGAAAAGUAACUGCAUUAUUAUUGGGUGAACCUCUGUUGUUAUUGGUGGUGACUGAAGGUUCAGUAAAUGAUGUCACAUUU
rnacentral:snoRNA from 1 species